rnacentral:rRNA from 1 species
GAUGAACGCUGGCGGCGUGCUUAACACAUGCAAGUCGAACGGAAAGGCCUCUGCUUGCAGGGGUACUCGAGUGGCGAACGGGUGAGUAACACGUGGGUGAUCUGCCCUGCACUUCGGGAUAAGCCUGGGAAACUGGGUCUAAUACCGGAUAGGACAAUGGUUUGGAUGCUGUUGUGGAAAGUUUUUCGGUGUGGGAUGAGCUCGCGGCCUAUCAGCUUGUUGGUGGGGUAAUGGCCUACCAAGGCGUCGACGGGUAGCCGGCCUGAGAGGGUGUACGGCCACAUUGGGACUGAGAUACGGCCCAGACUCCGACGGGAGGCAGCAGUGGGGAAUAUUGCACAAUGGGCGCAAGCCUGAUGCAGCGACGCCGCGUGGGGGAUGACGGCCUUCGGGUUGUAAACUCCUUUCGCUAGGGACGAAGCGUUUUUGUGACGGUACCUGGAGAAGAAGCACCGGCUAACUACGUG